GUUACAGAUGCUGGAAUGCUCUGUAACCCAAAGUUCCGGCGCCCUAGGGUGGAUCUGCGGCCGAUUAGGUUGUUGUUGGGGUAAUGGCCCAACAAGCCAGUAAUCGGUACGGGUUGUGGGAGCAAGAGCCCGGAGUUGGAUUCUGAGACACGAAUCCAGGCCCUACGGGGCGCAGCAGGCGCGAAAACUUUACAAUGCGGGCAACCGUGAUAAGGGAACCUCGAGUGCCUGUAAAUGCAGGCUGUUUAGGUGUUUAAAACGCACCUGGAGAAAGGGCCGGGCAAGACCGGUGCCAGCCGCCGCGGUAAUACCGGCGGCUCGAGUGGUGGCCACUUUUAUUGGGCUUAAAGCGUUCGUAGCUGGGUUGUUAAGUCUCUUGGGAAAUCUGGCGGCUUAACCGUCAGGCGUCUAAGGGAUACUGGCAAUCUUGGAACCGGGAGAGGUGAGGGGUACUUCGGGGGUAGGAGUGAAAUCCUGUAAUCCUCGAGGGACCACCUGUGGCGAAGGCGCCUCACCAGAACGGCUUCGACAGUGAGGGACGAAAGCUGGGGGAGCAAACCGGAUUAGAUACCCGGGUAGUCCCAGCCGUAAACUAUGCGCGUUAGGUGUAUCGGUGACCACGAGUUACCGAGGUGCCGAAGGGAAACCGUGAAACGUGCCGCCUGGGAAGUACGGUCGC
rnacentral:rRNA from 1 species